rnacentral:lncRNA from 1 species
UACUCCAUUUAAUUAAGUGGCUCUUAUGUGAAUAUACUACUUCCUUCAUUUCUUCAUUUUUUAGAUGGCAGUUAAAUAUAAGCAGAUGUUUUAAAUCAAUAUAGCUGAAAAUUGGAAAGAGGGAAGGGCGUUGAAGUUAGCGGAAUCAAACCCUGGGAGGAACAGAGAAAAUGACCCAUUACCAUUAAAAUGAAGGAGCUGAAUUGAGGAGACAGAGAAAUCAGUAACAGGAUCCAAGCAUUGCAUGAAUGGGAAGCACGAACUCCCCCACGGAUGCUGUGUGCAGAUGCUACGUGUGACUACUUCUACAUUUACCCAUUGGUCCUGUCUCUUUCCCAAGUUCUGGCUUUCAAGAGAAGAAGAAUGAAAAGGGAGGCAAGCAAUUUCUUAAGAAUGAGUUGGGGCAGCAAUUGGCAACCUCCUGUCUUCCCUUUUGAGAAGUAGCAGGUUGAUUUUACUACGCCUAAUAAUAAUUCUUAUUUUCUAUUCAAAGUUGUAUUAAAAUAUAGUCUUCAAAAUUGCUUUGUGAUUAAAAUGUAUGUGUGCGUAAUUCGUAUGUAAAAUUACACUGUGGUAAAACAUUCACUUUGUGAGCAUAUCUAAUAAAAAAGCUUUGGCACACA